AGCUGCUGUCUCUUUGAGAGAUCCUGGCCUUUACCUGCUCCCUCCUAUACUGAUGUGGUGUAUGUGGUACUGCUGAGCUUGUAUGUGAUCUGAACCAGUGUAAAGGUUACAGUUCAAAGACAUGAGGUAUGAAAUUCU